GGGCCUGUGGUAUAAUGGCAGUACGCCGCUUUUGCAAAGCGGAGAUGGGAGUUCGAUUCUCCCCAGGUCCACCA
rnacentral:tRNA from 1 species